rnacentral:rRNA from 1 species
UGGGGAAUUUUGGACAAUGGGCGAAAGCCUGAUCCAGCAAUGCCGCGUGUGUGAAGAAGGCCUUCGGGUUGUAAAGCACUUUUGUCCGGGAAAGAAAUCCUUGGCUCUAAUACAGUCGGGGGGAUGACGGUACCGGAAGAAUAAGCACCGGCUAACUACGUGCCAGCAGCCGCGGUAAUAUGUAGGGUGCAAGCGUUAAUCGGAAUUACUGGGCGUAAAGCGUGCGCAGGCGGUUUGCUAAGACCGAUGUGAAAUCCCCGGGCUCAACCUGGGAACUGCAUUGGUGACUGGCAGGCUAGAGUAUGGCAGAGGGGGGUAGAAUUCCACGUGUAGCAGUGAAAUGCGUAGAGAUGUGGAGGAAUACCGAUGGCGAAGGCAGCCCCCUGGGCCAAUACUGACGCUCAUGCACGAAAGCGUGGGGAGCAAACAGGAUUAGAUACCCUGGUAGUCCACGCCCUAAACGAUGUCAACUAGUUGUUGGGGAUUCAUUUCCUUAGUAACGUAGCUAACGCGUGAAGUUGACCGCCUGGGGAGUACGGUCGCAAGAUUAAAACUCAAAGGAAUUGACGGGG